GUAGUCAAUGAGUUUUGAGACCUCAACUUCGCGAAUAGAAGAGAAUGAUGCAACCCUCUUAGGCCCUAAGAGUUCUGUCAAGCUAAUUCUUUUCAUCUGCUUCCAGUAUUCACCUAGUGGAGAGAAAGCAAUGUCUUGACCACCAUAUGUUACGAUUUUAGAUGCAAGAAGUUCUGGCCUCUGUGCAAAGAUAAGAUCAUGUGUCUUCAUCACCUCUUGAGCCAUUCUUGGGUUUGAUACAACAACUGCAGAAAUUUCACCCAGUUGCAGGUGCAUGAGGGGUCCAUAUUCCCUGGCUAGUUCUGCAAGAGCAUGAUGUGGCUGUGCACCUGCCAAGUUGAGCAGGUUUCCAAUAAUAGGCAGUUUGACAGGCCCUGGAGGCAGUCUUUUAGGUAAGCUCUCAGCAGUAGCUUCAGUUUUCUGGCAAUAAAUUUUCAUGCGAACAGGAACAGAAGGAGGAUUAAAAUGGACAGACACGGUGGAAGCUGGAGCUCCCACCUUUGUUGGGGACAAAGCAAGUACUCCCAUCUUUGAAGGUGAGAAAGAUAGAGAUCCCAUGUUUACAGAGAAGAAGUGAAGAGGUUAAUUGGGUUAAUUUUAACUUCUCUACCCUGGAAAGAUUUCCUGAUCAGUUGCCAUUUUAU
rnacentral:misc_RNA from 1 species